rnacentral:misc_RNA from 1 species
GAUGAAGAACGCAGCGAAAUGCGAUAAGUAGUGUGAAUUGCAGAAUUCAGUGAAUCAUCGAAUCUUUGAACGCACAUUGCGGCCAUAGGUAUUCCUUUGGCCAUGCCUGUUCGAGCGUCAUUUACACCCUCAAGCCUAGCUUGGUGUUGGGCGUCUGUCCCGCCGUUCUCGCGCGCGGACUCGCCUCAAAGUCAUUGGCGGCGGUCGUGCCGGCCCCCUCGCGCAGCACAUUUGCGCUUCUCGGAGGCCCGGCGGAUCCGCGCUCAAGCAAGACCUUUCACGACUUGACCUCGGAUCAGGUAGGGAUACCCGCUGAACUUAAGCAUAUCAAUAAGCGGAGGA